GACGAACGCUGGCGGCGUGCUUAACACAUGCAAGUCGAACGGAUUGGCGAACGGGUGAGUAACACGGUGGUGACCUGCCCUGCACUUCGGGAUAAGCCUGGGAAACUGGGUCUAAUACCGGUUAGUGUUGGAUGGGUCCGCGGCCAAUCAGCUGGUUGGAGGGGUAAUGGCCUACCAAGGCGGCGACGGGUAGCCGGCCUGAGAGGGUGGACGGCCACAUGGGGACUGAGACACGGCCCAGACUCCUACGGGAGGCAGCAGUGGGGAAUAUUGCACAAUGGGCGGAAGCCUGAUGCAGCGACGUCGGGUGGGGGAUGACGGGCUUCGGGUUGUAAACUCCUUUCACCAUCGACGCGGUAGAUGGAGAAGAAGCAACGGCUAACUACGUGCCAGCAGCCGCGGUAAUAC
rnacentral:rRNA from 1 species